rnacentral:ncRNA from 2 species
AUCGUUCAUCUCUCUAAGUCCUGACUAGGGAGACGGAAGUAGGGAAAUAUCCCGAAGGAACGCGCC